rnacentral:rRNA from 1 species
GAUGAACGCUAGCGGCAGGCCUAACACAUGCAAGUCGAGGGGUAACAGAGGAGCUUGCUUCUGCUGACGACCGGCGCACGGGUGCGUAACGCGUAUAGAAUCUACCUUGUACUGAGGAAUAGCCUUUGGAAACGAAGAUUAAUGCCUCAUGGUAUAUCGGUUCGGCAUCGAGUUGAUAUUAAAGAUUACGGUAUAAGAUGACUAUGCGUUCUAUUAGCUAGAUGGUGUGGUAACGGCACACCAUGGCGACGAUAGAUAGGGGCCCUGAGAGGGGGAUCCCCCACACUGGUACUGAGACACGGACCAG